rnacentral:piRNA from 1 species
UGCCCAGUUGGUCAAGGUCCUAGCUACU